CUCCAGCAGUAUUCGAUGGAUCUCCUGGAAAGACGGCCUCUCUUUGGCGUUCCUGUGCCAGCAACUCAACAUGAGCUUGUAGACGGGGUCGGGACACAUGGGCGGCUGCGGCAAGUAGAUCUGGGAACAAGAGUGUACUCGGUUGCAGGAAGUCUGUCGCCUAUCCUAGGAGACUUGGGGCACAAGGUGGGGGACACUCUGGACGGGGUGCCAAUACAUCGCAGGGCACGAUCGCACAACGGACAAUUUGGAAAUGCCACCGUAGCUCGUCUACCUGUCGCCUCUGGUCCCGGAAGAACUCGCCCGUGUUUUCAAUGACCUGCUCAUCUGAGAGCUGUGAGUACGGUUGCUCCUUGCAGAAUGUCAGCGUCUCCCAGAGAGUCACACCGAACGCCCA